rnacentral:rRNA from 1 species
CACGUAGGGUGCGAGCGUUGUCCGGAAUUAUUGGGCGUAAAGAGCUCGUAGGCGGUCUGUCGCGUCGAUCGUGAAAACUUGGGGCUUAACUCUGAGCUUGCGGUCGAUACGGGCAUGACUGGAGUUCGGCAGGGGAGACUGGAAUUCCUGGUGUAGCGGUGAAAUGCGCAGAUAUCAGGAGGAACACCGGUGGCGAAGGCGGGUCUCUGGGCCGAUACUGACGCUGAGGAGCGAAAGCGUGGGGAGCGAACAGG